rnacentral:rRNA from 1 species
UACGGGGGGGGCAAGCGUUGUUCGGAAUUACUGGGCGUAAAGGGCGCGUAGGCGGCCUGCUAAGUCGGAUGUGAAAUCCCUCGGCUCAACCGAGGAACUGCAUCCGAUACUGGCGGGCUUGAAUCCGGGAGAGGGAUGUGGAAUUCCCAGUGUAGCGGUGAAAUGCGUAGAUAUUGGGAGGAACACCAGUGGCGAAGGCGGCUCACUGGACCGGAACUGACGCUGAGGCGCGAAAGCGUGGGGAGCAAACAGGG